rnacentral:rRNA from 1 species
CGUAGGGGGCGAGCGUUGUCCGAAGUUACUGGGCGUAAAGCGCGCGUAGGCGGCCAUUUAAGUCUGGGGUGAAAGGUUCAGCGCUCAACGCGAACAGUGCCUUGGAUACUGGGUGGCUUGAGUUCGGGAGGGGGUAGUGGAAUUCCUGGUGUAGCGGUGAAAUGCGUAGAUAUCAGGAGGAACACCGGUGGCGAAGGCGGCUACCUGGCCCAGAACUGACGCUGAGGUGCGAAAGCGUGGGGAGCGAACGGGAUUAGAUACCCCGGUAGUCCACGCCGUAAACGAUGAGUGCUAGGUGUUCGGGGUAUCGACCCCCCGGGUGCCGUCGCUAACGCAUUAAGCACUCCGCCUGGGGAGUACGGCCGCAAGGUUG